UACGUAGGCAGCGAGCGUUGUUCGGAGUUACUGGGCGUAAAGCGUGCGUAGGCGGUUGUCUAAGUCUGGUGUGAAAUCUCCCGCUCAACUGGGAGGGUGCGCCGGAAACUGGAUGACUGGAGUGCCGGAGAGGUAAGCGGAAUUCCUGGUGUAGCGGUGAAAUGCGUAGAUAUCAAGUGGAACACCAGUGGCGAAGGCGAGUCCCUGGACAACACCUGACACUGAGGCACGAAAGCUAGGGGAGCAAACAGG
rnacentral:rRNA from 1 species